AAGGACCUAUUAAGCAAAUAGACCACUAGUCCAGUAUGCGCGGAUCCUACCCUAGAUCGGGUCACCUCCUGGAUCUGGUCAUCGAACGAUGCCGUUAUGAAGCUAUUAUGUUAGCAUCAAACGGCGACAUUUUAGUCUCGUGUUUAAAAACAAAAUAAACCUAAAAAUCUAACACUUCUACUUUAGAAAGAAAAAAAAACUAAACCUAAACUUCCCCCCCUGCGCCGCUCGACAAAUCUUCGACCUUAAGGGCCCUCGAACCUCGCCCAAACUCUGAUGGAUACGGAGAGAGCGGAGGUCCGGCCACAAGGUACGCUUCCC
rnacentral:lncRNA from 1 species